rnacentral:rRNA from 1 species
AUUGAACGCUGGCGGCAGGCUUAACACAUGCAAGUCGAGCGGAGUGAUGGUGCUUGCACUAUCACUUAGCGGCGGACGGGUGAGUAAUGCUUAGGAAUCUGCCUAUUAGUGGGGGACAACAUCUCGAAAGGGAUGCUAAUACCGCAUACGUCCUACGGGAGAAAGCAGGGGCUCACUUGUGACCUUGCGCUAAUAGAUGAGCCUAAGUCGGAUUAGCUAGUUGGUGGGGUAAAGGCCUACCAAGGCGACGAUCUGUAGCGGGUCUGAGAGGAUGAUCCGCCACACUGGGACUGAGACACGGCCCAGACUCCUACGGGAGGCAGCAGUGGGGAAUAUUGGACAAUGGGGGGAACCCUGAUCCAGCCAUGCCGCGUGUGUGAAGAAGGCCUUAUGGUUGUAAAGCACUUUAAGCGAGGAGGAGGCUUACCUAGUUAAUACCUGGGAUAAGUGGACGUUACUCGCAGAAUAAGCACCGGCUAACUCUGUGCCAGCAGCCGCCGCAG